CAGCAGCCGCGGUAAUACGGAGGAUCCAAGCGUUAUCCGGAAUCAUUGGGUUUAAAGGGUCCGUAGGCGGUAUUGUAAGUCAGUGGUGAAAGCCCAUCGCUCAACGGUGGAACGGCCAUUGAUACUGCAGGACUUGAAUUAUUGGGAAGUAACUAGAAUAUGUAGUGUAGCGGUGAAAUGCUUAGAGAUUACAUGGAAUACCAAUUGCGAAGGCAGGUUACUACCAAUUGAUUGACGCUGAUGGACGAAAGCGUGGGUAGCGAACAGGAUUAGAUACCCCUGUAGUCCCUGUCUCUUAUAA
rnacentral:rRNA from 1 species